UACGGAGGGGACUAGCGUUGUUCGGAAUUACUGGGCGUAAAGCGCACGUAGGCGGAUUUGUUAGUCAGGGGUGAAAUCCCGAGGCUCAACCUCGGAACUGCCUUUGAUACUGCAAAUCUCGAGUCCGGAAGAGGUGAGUGGAACUCCUAGUGUAGAGGUGAAAUUCGUAGAUAUUAGGAAGAACACCAGUGGCGAAGGCGGCUCACUGGUCCGGUACUGACGCUGAGGUGCGAAAGCGUGGGGAGCAAACGGG
rnacentral:rRNA from 1 species